CCUCUCUGAGAUGCCUUUUUUUCUAAAGAAAACAAAUGCAGUUUAUUCAAGCCAAUGUUUUCCACCCCCCUUACUGAUUUUGUAGCUAUCCUUUGUACUUUUUUAUAGUUUUGCAAUAUCCCUCUUUAUAACUAGUGUCCAAAAUGCACAGCAUAUUCAACAUGGGUCUUGCCUAUCUUUGAUUGUAGAGUGAAGCAAUAUAGUGUUUAGACUUUCAAUGCCAACUUCAAAAUUAUUUAUAAUUACACUUCUCUUUACAGAUUAAUCAGAAGUGGACUCCGAACAGAACCCUGAGGCACUCCACUUACGACUUCUGUUCAAUCUGAACAUUUUCCAUUUACAACUGCUCUCUGCAGUCUUUAAGCCAGUGUUCUAUCCAAGAACCAGAUUGUUCAUCUAAACCAACUGAUUUCCAUUUUAAUUGUAACCUUUUACGUGGAACUAUAUUAAACGCCUUGGCAAAAUCCAAGUACAUCACAUCCAUAGUUCUACUAAGGCAAUUAAGCUACUUUGGAAUGACCUAUCUUUCAUAAACCAUGUUGAUUCUUGCUAUUGAUAUUGUUCAAAAUUUAUUCUUGAAUAUUAUUCCUUAAAUGCCAUUUAAACAGUUUCCAAUCACAGAUGUUAAACUCACAGGAUUGUAAUUUGCGGAUUGAGCUUUAGCAGUUUUUAAAUAGAGGCACCACAUCCAGUUUAUUCCAAUCCUCCAGUAGAAAUCCUGAAAGAUUAACACCAGUAGCAUGGAUAUUUCUACACUAAGCCCCCUGAGCAAUCCUUGACCAUCUGGUCCUGGGGCUUUAUUUACAUUAACUUUAUUUUACAUCUUAUGUGUAGUACAAUAAAUAUAGACUACUUUAUUGGCUCUGAAAUAAUAAUGCACGCCCACUCAGCAGACUUAAAUGGCUGGAGUAGUCACGCAUGUAAGCCCCGUCUCCCUGAAGAAUCAGAGAGCAACUCUAAACUCGGAGUGGCAUUGCCAGUUGCUGGACUUAGAGGCUGCAAAUGAACAGCUGCAAAGGGGGUGAUUUGAUCUGCACUUUUAAAAAGUAUCAAUAAAAUGUUAAUUUUACCCCCUACCCAUGACUGAUUUGAGCAUACAUCAAUCCCACACAGAAGGUAGCUCAUUGGAGCUAUUACAGUUUGAGCAGAUAGCACUAUAUUACACUAAAUAUUCUUUUUUCUGUAUUUAGGUUUUAUCAUGCUUACAGUAGGUCUGCCAGAUUCAUUCAGUAAGAGGAAAAUGGGCCAGCACUAAAUAAUGGAGAAAGAGGCAGCACACCUGAGAGGGGGAAUUCCCUCCAAAACCCCCUAAAAUCAAAUAAGAAAAAAAAAAAAACAGGGUGCACCUAGGACAAAAUGUAAAAGCCAGAUAUGUGUGAAAUAAAACAGAGGAGCAUAUGAUAAAAUAUAAUAAAAUACUAAAGUAAAAAACAAUAAGAUUAAUAAGGUACCCAGAUAAAUAUAGCAGUCCCAAAAUCGUAGUACAUAUAUAUUAAAUCAUGUAAGUAGAGAUUGUGGCCGUAUCAGUCCAGUGAUGCAGAUGUAAAAAACAGAUAAAUUUGGUAUCUUGUAAUACAUUUUUUAUUGGACUAACAGAAUUUUUUUUAAUGACAAGCUUUUGUAAGAACCUCCCUUUUUCAAGUCUAAAGCAAUUUUGAGCAAAGACAACACAUAGAAUUCAAAGUUGAGUUGUGAUACAGAGGUUAAAGAAACAUGAGUGCAGAUAAGACACAGGUUUGAUAGAAAAUGGACAUCAUUCUCUCAGAGGGUGAAGAGAGGGGGUAGAGAGAGAGAAAAAAAAAAGAAAGUGCAGAAGAUGGUGCUAGAAGGGGAGAGUAGACAAAUACCAACCUACACCAAAAAUACAUGAAUUCCCAUCCAAGAGAUACAGGAUAUGCUGACCUAUGUCCAGCAUAGACAGACACACACACAUACCUAAAGCGACAUGAGUGCAUAUGUGUAUAUACAUGCGGGAGUGUGCAUGUGUAUGUCCGUGCACACUGAACACAGGCCCCCAUGCACUCCCUGCAACUCCCUUUUUUUUUUUUAUGAUUUCGAAUGAUAGAACAUAUAUAUAUGGUAAUGGGAUCAUUCUAGUCAAACUCUUAAGGAUAUAUUGUUUCAGUAUAUUCAUUAUGGGGUAUUGUCUAGCUAAG
rnacentral:lncRNA from 1 species